AUACAACCAAGGCAGCUCUCAUAGCCAGCACCCAUGCUAUGCAUUUAAUUCAACAAUGUGGGUCUCAUUUAUAAGCCAGCAGGCUGCUUCCUGACCUGGGGGAUAGACCACGAAGGUUUGGCUUUAGGAGGGGCAUGCUACUGCAACCAGGUGAGCCACAUGGCUUGCCUAGCAACAAAGAAUGCCAAGAACAGAACGCACGAGAGUGAAGAAUUCCUGAUUUUGAAUCCAGUGCUUUCAACUACCAGAUUGUAUUAAUUCCUAGAAAUGAAACAAAGCAAAGCAUGGGAAUGGAGGAUGAGAUAGUCAAUUUUCAGAAUAAGAUGUUCUACCAAGAUGUAAAGAGGGGAAAAAAAGUAAUUUUCAACAGCUAGGCAAGAACUGCCACAAGCAGCAGUCGAAAAAAUCAAUGGCAUGGUUUCCUAAUGUGGUCUUGGAUUCAGCAAGAAAAUACUACAGAGAGAAAACUGCAGGAGUCUCUAUUUUGUCCCCUCAAAAUGAAUUAAAUGGUCUAGUGGAAGCUGAAGGACUCUGAAGAUGGCCAAGUUACAGAUCUCUUAAAAAAUCCAGUAUGAUGAUGCCCAUUUACAAAAUUUUAUGAUGAGAAAAUUAACUUUAAAACUCUUUUACAACUCUACCAAAUGUAAGAAAUAUAUGUCCCUAAGAAGACAGAAAAAGAGAAGCAGAUGAAAGGAAAUAGAAUUUUCUAUUUUCUCCUCACCAUGUAAGCCUCAAAUAAAAAGCAUCUAACAAUUCAACGAUCUUAACUUGGACCUGGUAGGAGACAUACACUGAAGCAAUGGCUACAACUCCAAAAUAUACCAAUCUGUGAGGCUAUGAGAUGACAGGUCAAAUUUUUCUCAGAAGAAACAUCCUAGCUAUAUUUCGUCAUUGAAUGUGGCCAUGUAUUGGCCCAGUAAUCUUCACAAGCAUCACAACCAAUUACUUAGGGCUUUAAUAAAGAAGGGACCUUAUGUAGAGUUUAAUC